rnacentral:tRNA from 1 species
GCCGGCAUGGUGAAAUCGGUAGACACAAGGGACUUAAAAUCCCUCGCCGUAAAAAGCGUACCGGUUCGAGUCCGGUUGCCGGCACCA